rnacentral:rRNA from 1 species
UGAGGUGCGAAAGCGUGGGGAGCAAACGGGAUUAGAUAUCCCGGUAGUCCACGCCGUAAACGAUGUCUACUAGCUGUAGGGGUACUUGAGACCUUUGUAGCGCAGCUAACGCAAUAAGUAGACCGCCUGGGGAGUACGGCCGCAAGGUUAAAACUCAAAUGAAUUGACGGGGGCCCGCACAAGCAGUGGAGCAUGUGGUUUAAUUCGAUGCAACGCGAAGAACCUUACCAGGCCUUGACAUCCCCGGAACUUUCUAGAGAUAGAUUGGUGCCUUCGGGAACCGGGUGACAGGUGCUGCAUGGCAGUCGUCAGCUCGUGUCGUGAGAUGUUGGGUUAAGUCCCGUAACGAGCGCAGCCCUUGUCCUUAGUUGCCAGCACGUAAUGGUGGGAACUCUAAGGAGACUGCCGGUGACAAACCGGAGGAAGGUGGGGACGACGUCAAGUCAUCAUGGCCCUUACGGCCUGGGCUACACACGUGCUACAAUGGCUAGGACAGACGGCUGCAAACCAGCGAUGGGGAGCUAAUCCGACAAACCUAGUCGUAGUCCGGAUUGGAGUCUGCAACUCGACUCCAUGAAGUCGGAAUUGCUAGUAAUCGCGAAUCAGAAUGUCGCGGUGAAUACGUUCCCGGGCCUUGUACACACCGCCC